UACGUAGGGUGCGAGCGUUACUCGGAAUUACUGGGCGUAAAGCGUGCGUAGGCGGUUUGUUAAGUCCGUUGUGAAAGCCCUGGGCUCAACCUGGGAAUUGCAGUGGAUACUGGCGAGCUAGAGUGCGGUAGAGGAUGGUGGAAUUCCCGGUGUAGCGGUGAAAUGCGUAGAGAUCGGGAGGAACACCCGUGGCGAAGGCGGCCAUCUGGACCAGCACUGACGCUGAGGCACGAAAGCGUGGGGAGCAAACAGGG
rnacentral:rRNA from 1 species